rnacentral:rRNA from 1 species
AUUGAACGCUGGCGGCAGGCCUAACACAUGCAAGUCGGACGGUAGCACAGAGAGCUUGCUCUCGGGUGACGAGUGGCGGACGGGUGAGUAAUGUCUGGGGAUCUGCCCGAUAGAGGGGGAUAACCACUGGAAACGGUGGCUAAUACCGCAUAACGUCGCAAGACCAAAGAGGGGGACCUUCGGGCCCCUCACUAUCGGAUGAACCCAGAUGGGAUUAGCUAGUAGGCGGGGUAACGGCCCACCUAGGCGACGAUCCCUAGCUGGUCUGAGAGGAUGACCAGCCACACUGGAACUGAGACACGGUCCAGACUCCUACGGGAGGCAGCAGUGGGGAAUAUUGCACAAUGGGCGCAAGCCUGAUGCAGCCAUGCCGCGUGUAUGAAGAAGGCCUUCGGGUUGUAAAGUACUUUCAGCGGGGAGGAAGGCGAUGUGGUUAAUAACCGCAUUGAUUGACGUUACCCGCAGAAGAAGCACCGGCUAACUCCGUGCCAGCAGCCGCGGUAA